rnacentral:lncRNA from 1 species
ACUGAACACACAGAAGCUGAAUAACAAGAGUCUUAAAUCCAUACAUACCGUCUAAUAAAAAUAAGGAACAUUAAGGCCAAGCCUUACAUAGAUAAGGCCUCGAAGGCCGACACACCAAACACAACUAACAUUCGAUGUCUUGAAUGAAACCGUGAAAUCCAUGCUAUAUGUCGUAACCUACAUGCAUUCUGACUAGGAAGUAUCCUAGUUGUAUGUUCGUCACCGACGAAUUCUUCUCCAAAUUCUUGCUCUUCCAUGCUUGGCCAAUUAAAUAACCAGCGGCAAGCCAAUGGGUACUCUGAAUGUACUCGCAACCAACCCAUGAUGUGGAACAAGGCAAUGAUGAAACAUGAUAUGAUACUAGUAGCCAAUUUGCGGAAAGAAGGGUUUCCCAAGUGCAAUAACAUGAUCAACUUCUCAUGCAGCAUGCAUCAUAAGGUAAGUGAUAGCCACGCGAACGGGUUACAUAUUUCAAUAUCAACUAAGGCCUGAACAACCCAUGUACACCCACGAUGCCAAGUCAUCUGACUUAGCUCAUCAAUCAUACUACUACCACCACCACCC